rnacentral:rRNA from 1 species
CUACGGGAUGCACCAGUGAGGAAUAUUGCACAAUGGGGGGAACCCUGAUGCAGCAACGCCGCGUGGAGGAUGACGCAUUUCGGUGUGUAAACUCCUUUUAUAUGUCAAGAAAAUGACGGUAGCAUAUGAAUAAGCACCGGCUAACUCCGUGCCAGCGAGCCGCGGUAAUACGGAGGGUGCAAGCGUUACUCGGAAUCACUGGGCGUAAAGGACGCGUAGGCGGGUUGGAAAGUCAGGUGUGAAAUCCUACAGCUUAACUGUAGAACUGCACUUGAAACUUCUAAUCUAGAGUAUGGGAGGGGGAGAUGGAAUUAGUGGUGUAGGGGUAAAAUCCGUAGAUAUCACUAGGAAUACCUAAAGCGAAGGCGAUCUCCUGGAACAGUACUGACGCUGAGGCGUGAAAGCGUGGGGAGCAAACAGGAUUAGAUACCCCUGUAGUC